rnacentral:rRNA from 1 species
GACGAACGCUGGCGGCGUGCCUCAAACAUGCAAGUCGUACGAGAAAGCCGGCUUCGGCUGGUGAGUAAAGUGGCGCACGGGUGAGUAACGCGUGGAUAAUCUGCCCUUAAGUGUGGAAUAACGUACCGAAAGGUGCGCUAAUACCGCAUAAUGCCUGGCAACACAAGUUGUCCGGCCAAAGAAGGCCUCUGUUUACAAGCUUUCGCUUCAGGAUGAGUCCGCGUACCAUUAGCUUGUUGGUGGGGUAAUGGCCUACCAAGGCUGCGAUGGUUAGCUGGUCUGAGAGGAUGAUCAGCCACACUGGAACUGAGACACGGCCCAGACUCCUACGGGAGGCAGCAGUGGGGAAUAUUGGGCAAUGGGCGAAAGCCUGACCCAGCGACGCCGCGUGGGUGAUGAAGGCCUUCGGGUUGUAAAACCCUUUCGUGCGGAAGAAUAGUCCUGUAGCGAAUAACUACGGGAUUGACGGUACCGCAGGAAGAAGCACCGGCUAACUCCGUGCC